rnacentral:rRNA from 1 species
AGCGAACGCUGGCGGCAGGCCUAACACAUGCAAGUCGAACGAACCUUUCGUGAUUGGUUGCGGUCGGGGGAGGAGCACGGGGGAACGGGGCUUUAUGCUCGGGAUAACUCAGUGAAGCGUGGGCUAAUGCCGAAAGUGCUCUGCUGGGGCAAGAUUAGUCGUCUGUAGGACGGCCGGCGUCUUAUGAACUAGUUGGGUGAGGUAAUGGCUCAGCAAGGCUACGAUCAGCAGAUGGUCUGGGAGGAAGAUCAGACACAUUGGGACUGGGACACGGUCCAAACUCCUACGGGAGGCAGCAGUGGGGAAUCUUGCGAAAUGGGCGAAAGGCUGACGCAGCCAUGCCGCGUGAAUGAUGAAGGUCUUAGGAUUGUAAAAUUCUUUCACCGGCGACGAUAAUGACGGUACCCGGAGAAGAAGCCCCGGCUAACUUCGUG